CAGCGCGCGGGAAUACAGAGGGUGCGAGCGUUAAUCGGAUUUACUGGGCGUAAAGCGUGCGUAGGCGGCUUCUUAAGUCGGAUGUGAAAUCCCUGAGCUUAACUUAGGAAUUGCAUUCGAUACUGGGAAGCUAGAGUAUGGGAGAGGAUGGUAGAAUUCCAGGUGUAGCGGUGAAAUGCGUAGAGAUCUGGAGGAAUACCGAUGGCGAAGGCAGCCAUCUGGCCUAAUACUGACGCUGAGGUACGAAAGCAUGGGGAGCAAACAGGAUUAGAGACCCCAGUAGUCCCUGUCUCUUAUACAC
rnacentral:rRNA from 1 species